rnacentral:lncRNA from 1 species
AAGAAAAAUCCUAAAAAUAGUUAGAGCCUCCAAGGGAGGGCAACGAAUAGGUUUUUUGGGCUAUCCCUAGUUCUACUAUAUCAUCAAUCAUCAUGAACACACGAAAAUAUUCAAUCAUCAUGAGAAAAAAGAAAGGUAAACUAGAAGGAAUAUAUAGAAGAGAAUGUAAAUUAAAAUAGAAAAAUAAAACAGGAAUUAAACUAAUAAAAAGGUAAACAAAAUAAAAGAGACAAAAAAAGAAAUAAAAAGGAAUGAGAAAAAAUAAACAAAGGAACGGAGAAACGAAAAUAAAAUUAAUGAGGAAAAAAUAAAGAAUAUAUAGAAGAGAAUCUAAAUUAAAAUGAAAAAACAAAAUAGGAAUCAAACUAGUAAAAAGGAAAGUGAAACAAGAGAGUGAAAAUAGAAAGAAAAGGGAAUGCGAAAAAAGUGUGUAAUCGGAAAAUGGUAAAGAAAAUAAAAGAAGAGAGAAGAAAAAGAAUGGAAAAGAGAAUAAGGAAAAAGGAGAAGGGACGAAAAGAAAUAAAUAAAUAAAAGAGAAGAAAUAAAAAUUAAAAAUAAUAGAGAAAGAAAAAUAAAACAAAGAGACAAAGGAAAACUAAAACAAAGAAAACAACAAAGAACGAAAACAAAAGGAGAGAAAAGCGAAAAAAGAACAUUUAGUUAUUAAAGGUGGUCCGUAGUUCAUUUUACACACAAGUCACUGGUCCCAUCUAGCAUGUCGCCGAAUCGAAGCAGUCCGGCCCACACAGGAC